rnacentral:rRNA from 1 species
UGAGGAAUCUUGCACAAUGGGCGAAAGCCUGAUGCAGCGACGCCGCGCGGAGGAUGAAGGUCUUCGGAUUGUAAACUCCUGUUAAACGGGAAGAAAGAUCUGUUUCUAAUACAAGCAGAUUAUGACGGUACCGUUAGAGAAAGCACCGGCUAACUUCGUGCCAGCAGCCGCGGUAAUACGAGGGGUGCAAGCGUUAUUCGGAUUGAUUGGGUGUAAAGGGUGUGCAGACGGCUUAUUAAGUCACUUGUUAAAUUCUUCGGCCUAACUGAAGGUCUGCAAGUGAUACUGAUGAGCUAGAGGGUGGAAGAGAGAAGUGGAAUUCUCGGAGUAGCGGUAAAAUGCGUAGAUCUCGAGAGGAACACCAAUGGCGAAGGCAGCUUCUUGGUCCAUUCCUGACGUUCAUACACGAAAGCGUGGGGAGCAAACA